rnacentral:piRNA from 1 species
UCUCACUGUCAGAGAUUUGUGCCUGCCUCU